rnacentral:rRNA from 1 species
GGAGGGAUCAUUACCGAGUUUACAACUCCCAAACCCAAUGUGAACGUUACCAAACUGUUGCCUCGGCGGGAACUCAUGCCCCGGGUGCGUCGCAGCCCCGGACCAAGGCGCCCGCCGGAGGACCAACCAAAACUCUUUUUGUAUACCCCCUCGCGGGUUUUUUAUAAUCUGAGCCUUCUCGGCGCCUCUCGUAGGCGUUUCGAAAAUGAAUCAAAACUUUCAACAACGGAUCUCUUGGUUCUGGCAUCGAUGAAGAACGCAGCGAAAUGCGAUAAGUAAUGUGAAUUGCAGAAUUCAGUGAAUCAUCGAAUCUUUGAACGCACAUUGCGCCCGCCAGUAUUCUGGCGGGCAUGCCUGUCCGAGCGUCAUUUCAACCCUCGAACCCCUCCGGGGGGUCGGCGUUGGGGAUCGGCCUCCCUCUGCGGGGGCCGUCUCCGAAAUACAGUGGCGGUCUCGCCGCAGCCUCUCCUGCGCAGUAGUUUGCACACUCGCAUCGGGAGCGCGGCGCGUCCACAGCCGUUAAACACCCAACUUCUGAAAUGUUGACCUCGGAUCAGGUAGGAAUACCCGCUGAACUUAAGCAUAU